AUGGUAAGACUGAAGUACUUGGCCAAUGGACCUUGUCAGCCUCGUACUGGUGAUUUUAAAGUAACCAAAAUAUGUGGUAGAGAUAGAAGGUUCGUUCGGGAAUGGUUUGAUGAGUUUGAGAGAUGUCUUGAGUAUAGCGAGUCCGAACAUAAAGCGUAUUGUUUUUGUUAUUUCUUGUUUAGACCAUGCAAGAAGAAAGAAGAUGGAUAUGAUGCAUUUGUUGCAAAUGGUUGGUCAAGUUGGAAUAAAAAAUAUAGAUUAAAGGAGCAUGUAGGAGACAUCAAUAGUGCUCACAACCAAGCAAAAAUAUAUUGUGAUGCUUUGCAGAAACAAAAGGAACACAUUUAUGUUGCUCUAAAUAACCAAAGUAAUGCUGAGAGGAUUCCUUAUUAUACUCAACUAAAUGCCUCAAUUGAUGAUGCAAGGGUGUUACUGAAGCAAGCGUUGCCUUUUCGUGGCCAUGAUGAGUCCGAGGAGUCUCUCAAUAAAGGCAAUUUCAUGGAAUUUCAUUCUUACACAACAGAGCAGAAUCCAGCUGUAAGAAAAGUGGUGGCCCAUAAUGCUCUAGGUAAUAAUCAGUUGACUUCUUCGAAGAUUCAGAAGGACGUAGCUGAAUGUUUUGCAAAGGAAAUAUUGCAUUAG
rnacentral:rRNA from 1 species